rnacentral:rRNA from 2 species
UUUUAUGGAGAGUUUGAUCCUGGCUCAGGAUGAACGCUGGCGGCGUGCCUAAUACAUGCAAGUCGAGCGAACGGACGAGAAGCUUGCUUCUCUGAUGUUAGCGGCGGACGGGUGAGUAACACGUGGAUAACCUACCUAUAAGACUGGGAUAACUUCGGGAAACCGGAGCUAAUACCGGAUAAUAUUUUGAACCGCAUGGUUCAAAAGUGAAAGACGGUCUUGCUGUCACUUAUAGAUGGAUCCGCGCUGCAUUAGCUAGUUGGUAAGGUAACGGCUUACCAAGGCAACGAUGCAUAGCCGACCUGAGAGGGUGAUCGGCCACACUGGAACUGAGACACGGUCCAGACUCCUACGGG